rnacentral:piRNA from 6 species
UAGUGGUUAGGAUUCGGCGCUCUCA